rnacentral:rRNA from 1 species
UACGUAGGGGGCAAGCGUUGUCCGGAUUUAUUGGGCGUAAAGAGCGUGUAGGCGGUUAUACAGGUCCGCUGUGAAAACUCGAGGCUCAACCUCGAGACGUCGGUGGAAACCGUUUGGCUAGAGUCCGGAAGAGGAGAGUGGAAUUCCCGGUGUAGCGGUGAAAUGCGCAGAUAUCGGGAAGAACACCCGUGGCGAAGGCGGCUCUCUGGGACGGUACUGACGCUGAGACGCGAAAGCGUGGGGAGCGAACAGG